rnacentral:tRNA from 1 species
UCCCUAGUAGCUUAGUUGGUAAAGAAUCUGCCUGCAACGCAGGAGACCCAGUUUUGAUCCCUGGGUCAGGAA